GCCAGCAGCCAUAUCACCCUGCAGCUCUCAACUGGCUACCCACUGAAGCUAAGAAGGGUUAAGCCUGGUCAGUACCUGAAUGGGAGACCUCCUGGGAAGCUAUGGUUGCUGCUGGAA
ensembl:rRNA 5S_rRNA 5S ribosomal RNA